rnacentral:vault_RNA from 1 species
GGGCCGGCUUUAGCCCAGCGGUUCCUUCGGUUCAUACAGUUUGUGUUGCCGGGCCCCGACUGGGGUUCGAUCCCGCGGGCACCCCUGGCCCAUUU